rnacentral:rRNA from 1 species
CACGUAGGGGCCAAGCGUUGUCCGGAUUUAUUGGGCGUAAAGAGCUCGUAGGCGGUUGGGUAAGUCGGGUGUGAAAACUCCAGCUCAACUUGGAGACGCCACCCGAUACUGCUCUGACUUGAGUUCGGUAGGGGAGUGGGGAAUUCCUGGUGUAGCGGUGAAAUGCGCAGAUAUCAGGAAGAACACCAACGGCGAAGGCAGCUCGCUGGGACGGUACUGACGCUGAGACGCGAAAGCGUGGGGAGCGAACAGG